CUUGAUUGGUCGGUCGGCCAGCACUGCUGACGUCUGAUUGGCUGAGACAAAGAAGGGACUAAGGCCGUAGGGGUGGGGGUUUGUGGAUUUCAUUCUUUGCCUUUUCGCUCCGGCGGUGGCCGCUGCUCUUUCGGACCUUCCUGAACUCUGCGGCCUUUUCCUCUCUGCUUCCGUGGUCCCUAUCAUAACGCUACCUGCAUUUCCUUGUCCUUCUCUACCAAACAGCACCUGGAGAUAGGGACAUGGGGUUCGUGCUGCUCACCACUGUCUCCCCAGGGCCUAGCACACAGUACGUGCUCAAAACGGUUGCAUUCACAGGUAUCGGCGGUCAGGACUUCAAUAUAUCUUUCUGGGGGACACAGUUCAACAAGGCUCAAUGAGGAAAGAACAUUUUGAUUAGUAGGGAACAUCGAGAGCAGAGGCCCCAGGGCUGCACAAGGUGGAUGUCCCUGUCGCUGCCCACUGUUCUCUUGGGACUACACAGAUCCUGGUGCCUAGCAGCUGUGGAAACAGAGUUGGGAGGCAGCCGACCCUCUGGACAUCAGGCCUUUUCAGCUGACCCUGCCCAGCCUGGUGCCAGAGCAGGGCCCUGCCUGCCUGCCCCUCCUCCCUCUUCCUGCCUGGUCCUCAUUCCCACCCACAUCCCAAGAUGGACAAGGACAAUAAAAGCUGUUUCAUAAGCAGCUGGUGAUUAAUUGCCAAGCUAAUUAAAG
rnacentral:lncRNA from 1 species